rnacentral:rRNA from 1 species
GGAUGCGAUCAUACCAGCACUAACGCACCGGAUCCCAUCAGAACGCCGAAGUUAAGCGUGC